GUAUCGAUAGCUCAGUGGCAGAGCGGUGGGUCGUAGACUCAUGCAGCCCGGAUUCGAACCCCGGUCGAUGCA